rnacentral:rRNA from 1 species
GGCACGCGAUAGGGGGAUCCAAGUGCCAGUAUCCUAUGUUGGCUGUUCAUAUGUAUAAAUCACAUGUGUUAGCAAGGGCCGGGCAAGACCGGUGCCAGCACCCGCGGUAAAA